rnacentral:rRNA from 1 species
UACAGAGGGGGCAAGCGUUGUUCGGAAUUACUGGGCGUAAAGGGCGCGUAGGCGGCCUGCUAAGUCGAACGUGAAAUCCCCGAGCUCAACUCGGGAACUGCGUCCAAGACUGGGAGGCUUGAAUCCGGGAGAGGGAUGCGGAAUUCCAGGUGUAGCGGUGAAAUGCGUAGAUAUCUGGAGGAACACCGGUGGCGAAGGCGGUUCUCUGGGCAUUACCUGACGCUGAGGAGCGAAAGCGUGGGGAGCGAACAGG